UGACCUACGGGACGCAGCAGUGAGGAAUAUUGGUCAAUGGCCGAGAGGCUGAACCAGCCAAGUCGCGUGAGGGAAGACGGCCCUACGGGUUGUAAACCUCUUUUGUCGGGGAGCAAAGCGAGUCACGUGUGACUCAUUGAGAGUACCCGAAGAAAAAGCAUCGGCUAACUCCGUGCCAGCAGCCGCGGUAAUACGGAGGAUGCGAGCGUUAUCCGGAUUUAUUGGGAUUAAAGGGUGCGCAGGCGGAGGUGCAAGGCAGCGGUCGAAUUGCGGGGCUCAAGCCCGAACUGCCGAUGAAACUGAAA
rnacentral:rRNA from 1 species